rnacentral:rRNA from 1 species
CAGCAGCCACGGUAAUACAGAGGGUGCAAGCGUUAAUCGGAAUUACUGGGCGUAAAGCGCGCGUAGGUGGUUUGUUAAGUUGGAUGUGAAAUCCCCGGGCUCAACCUGGGAACUGCAUUCAAAACUGACUGACUAGAGUAUGGUAGAGGGUGGUGGAAUUUCCUGUGUAGCGGUGAAAUGCGUAGAUAUAGGAAGGAACACCAGUGGCGAAGGCGACCACCUGGACUAAUACUGACACUGAGGUGCGAAAGCGUGGGGAGCAAACAGGAUUAGAUACCCCAGUAGUCCCUGUCUCUUAUAC